AUUUGCUGUUCCAACUGAGUACAAUAUUUGAGUACAAUGAAUGGUGUCAUCUGAAGCUGACGCAUUAAUUAAACAAAAAUGUCAACAAAUAGAUUUUGUCUCCCAUCAACAUACUGUUCGGUUGCACUGCGAUAGGGGUAGCCUUGAAGGUACCAUUUAUUAAACGAUAACUGGGACAAAAACUGACUUAGUCUUUCUAUAUAUGAUAUAUAUAUAUAUAUAUAUAACAAAGAUAACAAAUUAAUUCGCUCUGCUAAAUAAUUUGUAGUAUUGAGCACUCUUUUAUCUAUAACGAAAAACAAAACUGUUUAUAUAUAUAU